rnacentral:rRNA from 1 species
GAUGAACGCUGGCGGCGUGCCUAAUACAUGCAAGUCGAACGCACAGCGAAAGGUGCUUGCACCUUUCAAGUGAGUGGCGAACGGGUGAGUAACACGUGGACAACCUGCCUCAAGGCUGGGGAUAACAUUUGGAAACAGAUGCUAAUACCGAAUAAAACUCAGUGUCGCAUGACACAAAGUUAAAAGGCGCUUUGGCGUCACCUAGAGAUGGAUCCGCGGUGCGUUAGUUAGUUGGUGGGGUAAAGGCCUACCAAGACAAUGAUGCAUAGCCGAGUUGAGAGACUGAUCGGCCACAUUGGGACUGAGACACGGCCCAAACUCCCACGGGAGGCUGCAGUAGGGAAUCUUCCACAAUGGGCGAAAGCCUGAUGGAGCAACGCCGCGUGUGUGAUGAAGGCUUUCGGGUCGUAAAGCACUGUUGUAUGGGAAGAACAGCUAGAAUAGGGAAUGAUUUUAGUUUGACGGUACCAUACCAGAAAGGGACGGCUAAAUACGUGCCAGCAGCCGCAGUAA